GCGUGCGUGAAGAAGGCCUUAGGGUUGUAAAGCGCUUUCGCCCGCGAGGAUGAUGACGGUAGCGGGAGAAGAAGCCCCGGCUAACUCCGUGCCAGCAGCCGCGGUAAUACGGAGGGGGCUAGCGUUGUUCGGAAUUACUGGGCGUAAAGGGCGCGUAGGCGGGCGAUCAAGUCAGGGGUGAAAGGCCUGGGCUCAACCUGGGAACUGCCUUUGAAACUGAUUGUCUUGAGUCCGGGAGAGGAUGGCGGAAUUCCCAGUGUAGAGGUGAAAUUCGU
rnacentral:rRNA from 1 species